AUUGAACGCUGGCGGCAGGCCUAACACAUGCAAGUCGAGCGGAUGAAGAGAGCUUGCUCUCUGAUUUAGCGGCGGACGGGUGAGCAAUGCCUAGGAAUCUGCCUGGUAGUGGGGGAUAACGUCCGGAAACGGGCGCUAAUACCGCAUACGUCCUACGGGAGAAAGCAGGGGACCUUCGGGCCUUGCGCUAUCAGAUGAGCCUAGGUCGGAUUAGCUAGUUGGUGAGGUAAUGGCUCACCAAGGCUACGGUCCGUAACUGGUCUGAGAGGAUGAUCAGUCACACUGGAACUGAGACACGGUCCAGACUCCUACGGGAGGCAGCAGUGGGGAAUAUUGGACAAUGGGCGAAAGCCUGAUCCAGCCAUGCCGCGUGUGUGAAGAAGGUCUUCGGAUUGUAAAGCACUUUAAGUUGGGAGGAAGGGCAGUAAGUUAAUACCUUGCUGUUUUGACGUUACCGACAGAAUAAGCACCGGCUAACUUCGUGCCAGCAGCCGCGGUAAUAC
rnacentral:rRNA from 1 species